rnacentral:lncRNA from 1 species
GAUUGAGUCACCAUCCCCAGAGAUAUUUAAAAGAGAUGUAGAUGUGGUGCUCAGGUCAUGGCUUAGUGGUGGACUUGGAAGCGCUGGGCUAAGGAUUGGAAUGGAUGUUCUUAAUGCUCUUUUCCAAACUAAAUGAUUCUAUGACUAUUGAAUGAUCAAGAGCAUGAGAGAAUGUGCAUGUGGACAUCUGAUUUAAUAAAGAUUGGAAUACACACAUGGAACACUUCUCUUUUUUCCAGGUAGAACUGACUUAUUGCUUCCUGACUUCCACAGAAGGUAAGUACUACUGUUUCCACCUUUCAGUAACAAAAAUCAGUAGAAUUAAAGUCAGUACUCCUAAGAAGGGUGAACAUUAACUUUCCAGCUUUCCCAGGAGCUAUCAAAUCUUCUUAUGCUAUGAGCCUAAUUAAAUUACCAUGAAAAAAAUUACUUCUGUU